rnacentral:lncRNA from 1 species
CUCUCUCAGUCUUCUUUGACUAUGAUCAUGAUCAGCCUUAUGACAAAACCUAAUAGAGGCUAGUUCUUAAAUACAGAACAUCCGAUCUAUCGACGUAUACUAAUGAUCAACUCCACUGACUAGGUCUAGGAGGAAAUUAGCUCUAAUUCAUGCGGUCAUGAUUAGCCUUGUGACAAGACAAAAAGAUUAGUCUUAAAAUAAAAAAAUACGUGACAUAUCAAUGUGUGC